AACGCGAAGAACCUUACCUGGGCUCGAAAUGGAGUGGACCGGAGUAGAGAUAUUGGUUCCCUUGUGGCCUGUGUGCAGGUGGUGCAUGGCUGUCGUCAGCUCGUGUCGUGAGAUGUUGGGUUAAGUCCCGCAACGAGCGCAACCCUUGUCUCAUGUUGCCAGCGCGUUAUGGCGGGGACUCGUGAGAGACUGCCGGGGUCAACUCGGAGGAAGGUGGGGAUGACGUCAAGUCAUCAUGCCCCUUAUGUCCAGGGCUUCACACAUGCUACAAUGGCCGGUACAAAGGGCUGCGAUGCCGUGAGGUUAAGCGAAUCCUUUAAAGCCGGUCUCAGUUCGGAUCGGGGUCUGCAACUCGACCCCGUGAAGUCGGAGUCGCUAGUAAUCGCAGAUCAGCAACGCUGCGGUGAAUACGUUCCCGGGCCUUGUACACACCGCGCAUA
rnacentral:rRNA from 1 species